rnacentral:lncRNA from 10 species
AUCAAAACUAGCUGCUUAGCCAGUUGUUUAAAGAUGUGUUGGAUCUGAAAGAAAGGAACAUGGUCUGACUCUGUUGCCAAGGAUGGGCUGAGGUGGUGCCAUCUGGAUUCACUAUAGCUUCAGCCUCCAGGUCUCAAGUGAUCCUCCUGCCUCAGCCUCCCAAGUAGCUGGGACUACAGGUAUGUGCCACCAUGCCCAGCUAAUUUUUUAGUUUUUGUAGAGAUGGGGUCUCACUAUGUUGCCCAGGCUGGUCUCAAACUCCUGGGCUCAAGCAAUCCUCCCACCUCAGCCUUCCAAAAUGCUGGGAUUACAGGCAUGAGCCAUUGCACCUGGUUGGAUGACAAUUCUUUAGGUUUAUCUGUGUUCUUAUUUUAGGUUUGGAAAGAUGGUAUGACACUGUGAUGUAUAAUAAGAUAUGCAGUAUGUAUAGAUAGUCUUAGUCCCAGUAUUCUGGCACACAGCUCCUAAAACCCUGGGAAUCUCCAAAGUGAUAAAUGGUUUUUUGUAUGCUAAUGAAAUGACAGUGAUAAGUGGGUUUCUGCAUGCCAGAAGCUCCUGGAUAGCUUCAAGAUAGGGGCUCCUUGCCCAGGAACUAACCACGUGAUUAAAGAAUUCCGGCUUUCAGCCCCAACACCAACCUUGAAGGAGAGGAAAGGCUGAAGGUUGAACUUAUCACCAGUGACCAAUAAUUUAAUCAAUUCUGCCUACAUAAGGAAGCCUCUAUAAAAUCCCAAAAGAAAGGCAGAGGCGGGUGGAUCACUUGAGCCCAGGAGUUCAAGACAAGCCCGGGUAACAUGAUGAGACCCCGUCUCUACGAAAAAUACAAAAAUUGGCUGGGCGUCAUGGCGCACACCUGUUAGUCCCAGUUACUCAGGAGGCGGAGAGGGGAGGAUUGCGUGAGCCUGGGAGGCAGAGGUUUCAGUGAGCAGAGAUCAUGCCACUGCACUCCAGCCUGGGUGACAGAGUGAGAACCUGUCUCAAAAACAAAAACAAAGCCAAAGUCCAAAAGAAAAGGGUUUGGAUAGCUUCCAAAUUGCUGAACAGGUGGACAUGCCUAGAAGGUGGGGCACCCAGAAACGGUGUGGAAGCUCUGGACUUCUGCUGGCCUUUCCAUAUGCAUCUCUUCCAUCUGGCUGUUCAUCUGUAUACUUUAUUAUAUCCUUUAUUAAUAAACUGGAAAAUAUAAGUAAAGUGUUUCCCUGGGUUCAGUGAUCUGCUCUAAGCAAAUUAAUCAAACCUGAAGAGGUAGGCAUAGAGACCCCGAUUUACAGUGGGUUGGUCAAAAGUACAGGUCACAACCUGAAGCUUGUGAUUGGCAUCGGAAGUGGGAGGCAGUCUUGGAGGAUUGAACCAUUAAACUGUGGGAUCUGACGCUAUCUCCAAGUAAAUAGUGUUAGAAUUGAAUUAAAUUAUAGGACCCCCAGCUGAUGUCUGCUGGAGAAUUGCUUGGUGUGUGGGAAAAACCCCCAUGCAUCUGGUCACAGAAGCUUUCUGUGUUAUACUGAGUGAAUGUAAGAGUAAGAAGAGCACUUUGGGUGAGGUGCAGUGCCUCAAAAAAAUAGCAUCCUCCUUUACAGUCCAUCUACUCCUUUCUUUUCAUAGCA